AAACCAUUGGCGCUAUGGCGGCUAACAUAAACGCCAGCACUUCGGCAUUAGAAAGAGACGCUUUCCUGCAACAACUCUUAUUCCUGCUGAGAAACUUGAAGUGUCUUUCUACUUGGAGCCAAAGUGUGACAAAACUCCAAGUGAGCCUGAGAAACGGAUCCACAUGCAGGCAUGGCCGGGUCAAAGGACUGCUCAUCAGCACAAUACACAAAGAGGUGGAUGGGGUAGCUGGAUACACAGGCACAAGUCCCUGAAAGCUACCUGGUGAAGAAUUCACUAGCAUGGCAAAAGCCAUGUGCCAGACGUGCGGAGUAGCUGUUCCCCUGCAGCUUCUUAAGGAUCACAUCAACUCUCAUGUGGUCACUGAUGUCGACAGUGACAAUGACCCGCACAGAAAAG
rnacentral:lncRNA from 1 species